rnacentral:rRNA from 1 species
GUGCACCAGGCGAGAAACCUCCGCAAUACACGAAAGUGUGACGGGGCCAUCCCGAGUGCCGUCCGCUGAGGACGGCUUUUCCCCAGUGUACACAGCUGGGGGAAUAAGGAGAGGGCAAGCCUGGUGUCAGCCGCCGCGGUAAUACCAGCUCUCCGAGUGGUGGGGACGCUUAUUGGGCCUAAAGCAUCCGUAGCCGGCUGGGCAAGUCCUCCGUUAAAUCCAACGAUUCAAUCGUUGGGCUGCGGGGGAUACUGUCCAGCUUGGGGGCGGGAGAGGCCGACGGUAUUCCCGGGGUAGGGGUGAAAUCCUAUAAUCCCGGGAGGACCACCAGUGGCGAAGGCUGUCGGCUAGAACGCGCCCGACGGUGAGGGGAU